rnacentral:lncRNA from 1 species
UCGAGAAUGAAGAUUUGUUUUCCUAUUAAGGUAGGUUAUCGUUGGUCCUCUUUUUUUGUUUUUUUCAAUUUUUCUUUUUAAUGCAAGCAAUAGUCUCAAGUACAAGGAAGAGAAUGGUUUCACACACACACACUAUAAAAGUGUCAUGACGGUUCGAACUUGAGAUUAGUAGUAUGCACCCAUUUUUUGAGUUGAUUAUCAGUGCCUCAAUUUUUGUAUGCAG